AAGUCGUAACAAGGUUUCCGUAGGUGAACCUGCGGAAGGAUCAUUAUUGAAUACUCUUGACGAGUUGUAGCUGGCUCUUCGGGGCAUGUGCACGCUUGUCUUGACUUUAUUCAUCCACCUGUGCACCUUUUGUAGUCUUGUGGGUUGAGAGCGGUCGACUAUCAGAGACUUUGGUCUUCUGGAUGUGAGGAGUGCUGAGUGCGAAAGCAUUAAGCUCGUCUCUAAUGACUCGCAACCUCUCCCUCGAGUACUAUGUAUUCAUAUACCACAUAGUAUGUUGUAGAAUGUGAUCAAUGGGCCUUUGCGCCUAUAAUAAUCAUAUACAACUUUCAGCAACGGAUCUCUUGGCUCUCGCAUCGAUGAAGAACGCAGCGAAAUGCGAUAAGUAAUGUGAAUUGCAGAAUUCAGUGAAUCAUCGAAUCUUUGAACGCACCUUGCGCUCCUUGGUAUUCCGAGGAGCAUGCCUGUUUGAGUGUCAUUAAAUUCUCAACUCCUCCAGCUUUUACGAGCUGUGUGGGGCUUGGAUAUGGGAGUUUGCGGGUCCUUUAUCAAUAAGGUCGGCUCUCCUGAAAUGCAUUAGCGGAACCGUUUGCAGUUCUGUCACUAGUGUGAUAAUUAUCUACACUGUGAUGAUUGCUCUCUGACUCGUUCAGCUGCUAAUCGUCCGUUACUGGACAACAUUUAAUGAACUUCUUGACCUCAAAUCAGGUAGGACUACCCGCUGAACUUAA
rnacentral:rRNA from 1 species